AGAGAAAAUGUCACUUUGGGAUCACUGCUGUCCUCAGAGAAGGGAAGACCAAGUUCAAUUGUAACUGGCAACCUAAUUCCAGUCUCGUUCUUGUGGUCAGCUUCUUCCGCCCUGUGUUCCUAAAGUGGAGCCACCAGCCACAUACAACAGCAGAAACUAUGUGCAGAGGAUGGGCCGGGUACCGAGACGAAACAGCAGGCCUAAUUAUUUAGAACAUUUCCGUAAACCAG
rnacentral:lncRNA from 1 species